AGAGUAAAAUAGGAUUUUCAAUGUACUAACCCGUUAUAUGAUUCAAUCUAUUGAUCACUUGAAGAUGGUGAUGAAGGCUGAUCAAACACUAUCUUUGCAAGAUGUGCGUAUUUACUCCCUAGCUCAUCAUAUUUACUCUCUAUCCCUUCCAAACGUCCUUUUUGUUAGAAACACGUUCUCAAUGCAAUAUACUAAACGUGUACUCUUUUGUAGGUUUUGAUGAAUGACAAACGAAGCAAAAAUUGAUAUUAUGACGGAAUUCAAGUACAAGCGCACAAUGGUUGCGAAUAAGAUUGAAGUUCAAGAUAUAGCUCUUAAUUGUUAUUGAGUUGUUCUAAGACUGUAAUCUCGAUCCUAUAACUUGACUCAUAGUAUAGCCUCUCUCAUAAAACUAUUUUCCAAAAUCAUGCAUAUUUAAUUCUGUGUCAAAAAGAUUUUAAAUCAUGCAUAUUUACAUUAGACAANNNNN
rnacentral:lncRNA from 1 species